CUUGGUCAUUUAGAGGAAGUAAAAAUCGUAACAAGGUUUCCGUAGGUGAACCUGCGGAAGGAUCAUUCAUAAUAAGUGUUUUAUGGCACUUUUUUAAAUCCAUAUCCACCUUGUGUGCAAUGUCAGGGUUGGUCUCUUGAAAAAGAGAUCAGCCCCAAACAUCAACCCAAUCUUAACUCUUUGUCUGAAAAAUAUUAUGAAUAAAACAAUUCAAAAUUCAACUUUCAACAACGGAUCUCUUGGCUCUCGCAUCGAUGAAGAACGCAGCGAAAUGCGAUACGUAAUGUGAAUUGCAGAAUUCAGUGAAUCAUCAAAUCUUUGAACGCAUAUUGCGCUCUUUGGUAUUCCGAAGAGCAUGCUUGUUUGAGUAUCAGUAAACACCUCAAAGCCUUUUUUUGUUAAGAGGCCUUGGACUUGAGCAAUCCCAACACUUUUCCUCCAAGAAAAGUGGCGGGUUGCUUGAAAUGCAGGUGCAGCUGGACAUUCUCCUGAGCUAAAAGCAUAUUCAUUUAGUCCCGUCAAACGGAUUAUUACUUUUGCUGCAGCUAACAUAAAGGGAGUUUGACCAUUUUGGCUGACUGAUGCAGGAUUUUCACAAGAGUCUUCAAAAGCUUUUGUUAAACUCGAUCUCAAAUCAAGUAAGACUACCCGCUGAACUUAAGCAUAUCAAUAAGCGGAGGA
rnacentral:rRNA from 1 species